GACGAACGCUGGCGGCGUGCCUAAUACAUGCAAGUCGAGCGCAGGAAAUCAUCCGAACCCUUCGGGGGGACGUUGAUGGAAUGAGCGGCGGACGGGUGAGUAACACGUAAAGAACCUGCCCUCAGGUCUGGGAUAACCACGAGAAAUCGGGGCUAAUACCGGAUGGGUCAUCGGACCGCAUGGUCCGAGGAUGAAAGGCGCUUCGGCGUCGCCUGGGGAUGGCUUUGCGGUGCAUUAGCUAGUUGGUGGGGUAAUGGCCCACCAAGGCGACGAUGCAUAGCCGACCUGAGAGGGUGAGCGACCACACUGGGGCUGAGACACGGCCCAGACUCCUACGGGAGGCAGCAGUAGGGAAUCUUCCACAAUGGACGAAAGUCUGAUGGAGCAACGCCGCGUGAACGAUGAAGGCCUUCGGGUCGUAAAGUUCUGUUGUAAGGGAAGAACAAGUGCCGCAGGCAAUGGCGGCACCUUGACGGUACCUUGCGAGAAAGCCACGGCUAACUACGUGCCAGCAGCCGCAGUAAUAC
rnacentral:rRNA from 1 species